rnacentral:misc_RNA from 1 species
UAACCCAUCCCGUUCGCGGGGUCUUGGGCACCGCCUCUGGGCGGGCCUCAAAAUCAGUGGCGGUACGGCCGGGCUCUGAGCGUAGUAAAUCUUCUCGCUACAGGGUCCCGGGCGGCACUGGCCAGCAACCCCCAAAUCUUUCACA